rnacentral:rRNA from 1 species
ACUUCUGUUGCCUUCCGGGGCGACCCUGCCUUUCGGGCGGGGGCUUCCGGGUGGACACUUUCAAACUCUUGCGUAACUUUUGCAGUCUGAGUAAACUUUAAUUAAUAAAUUAAAACUUUUAACAACGGAUCUCUUGGUUCUGGCAUCGAUGAAGAACGCAGCGAAAUGCGAUAAGUAAUGUGAAUUUGCAGAAUUCAGUGAAUCAUCGAAUCUUUGAACGCACAUUGCGCCCCCUGGUAUUCCGGGGGGCAUGCCUGUUCGAGCGUCAUUUUCACCACUCAAGCCUCGCUUGGUAUUGGGCAACGCGGUCCGCCGCGUGCCUCAAAUCGUCCGGCUGGGUCUUCUGUCCCCUAAGCGUUGUGGAAACUAUUCGCUAAAGGGUGUUCGGGAGGCUACGCCGUANAACAACCCCAUUUCUAAGGUUGACCUCGGAUCACGUAGGGAUACCCGCUGAACUUAAGCAUA